CUACGAAGGGUGCAAGCGUUGUUCGGAUUUAUUGGGCGUAAAGCGCGCGCAGGCGGAUUGGCAAGUCAGAUGUGAAAUCUCGGGGCUCAACCCCGAAACUGCGUCUGAAACUGCUAAUCUAGAAUCUUGGAGAGGGAAGGGGAAUUUCUCAUGUAGGGGUAAAAUCCGUAGAGAUGAGAAGGAACACCAGAGGCGAAGGCGCCUUCCUGGACAGGUAUUGACGCUGAGGCGCGAAAGCGUGGGGAGCAAACAGGAUUAGAUACCCUAGUAGUCC
rnacentral:rRNA from 1 species